rnacentral:lncRNA from 1 species
UCACCAAGAGCUCUUGUUGUUUGUGCUAUGCAGUGAACAUUUUGUUUCAAGAAAUUGGAGUGUUCCCUGUGGUUCAUGAAAUUGACAAAGAUCCUGAAGGAAAAGAAAUGGAGAAAGCUAUAACAAAGUUGGGUUGUAAUGCACCUGUCCCUGCAGUAUUCAUUGGAGGAAGGCUUGUGGGGUCCACCAAUGAAGUAAUGUCCCUACACCUAAGUGGUUCACUUGUUCCACUACUUAGGCCAUACCGAAUUUAACUUAAUUUGAUCAGUUUUAUUAUUAGGAAUACAUAUAUACAUGCAUAUUACACGUCCCAGCAGCUACCUUUAUUUGAAGAAUAAAUUAGUACUAGUACUAGUAGUAGUAAGUAAGAUAAGUAUUCAUAAUAUAAUAGUCUAUCCAAUGAUGUGUGAUUAAGUUUCUAUUAUUUGUUUGCUAUAUAAUGUAAUAAUCUGCUAAUCUUGAUACUUGUACAAGCUAUUGUGAUUCAACAAUUUUAAAGAUAACUCGUUUGUAAAGUUUAUGACAUUAGUUAUCAGUUUUAAUGCUCGAAUAAAAUUCAAUGUCUCUAUUUAACAAUCUAUCAUUGCAUGAGUAGAACGCAUGCAUGAAACAUGGUAUUUCUUGGUUUCAACGAUGAAGAUCAUCAAAUAAGGAAAUGAGCUAAAAAGAUGAGAAUAUGAAAAUUGUAAAAAUAAUUUAUCGACAUAGUUUAUUUUCAGUUUCAAGCAAAUUUUUUCAUAUUCCUGAAUUUUUUUUUAAAUAUUAGAAAAUGGUGGAUUUUUAUUAAUCUUAGUAAUGUUGUACAAAGCCAUUGCCAACCGCAUGCUAAAUCUAGCGCGGUUCCUACAAUUGUUGUAUCAUAAAGUAGCUACAAACUAUCCAUAUCUAGUGUUGGGUUUCAAAUGUAAGUAUUUAAAUCUCAUAUCGUUGAUAAUUUUGGAUAUAUAAGAGACUUGACUCAUAUACUUAAUGUUAUAAGGAUUUAGAUGGAGAUGCUAUGUUUUUCUCACUUGUGGUCUUGGAGCAUUUAUGCAGUUGUUGCUCCCGAUUUUCUUAAACUCCCCCAACAAGUAGUAUCAGAGCCCUUAAUUCGGCUUGGUGCGGGGAGCGGGAGCCGGACUCUGCUAUAGGAGAUGAGAACACUGAGGGGCAAAUUGUUGGAUUUCACGUGUGAAUGGUUAAAUUCUACAUCGCCUAUGAACGAAUAAAAAUGUUGAAUAUAUAUAUAAGAGGUGACUCAUAAACCCAAUACCUUAAAGUUUUUUGUAAAAAUGUAUGUGUUCCUUGCUUCUGCUCUUUGCGCAUUGAACCGUUCUUACUUUCGCGCUCCUCUGAACUCCUAACAACGUAGAACACAUUGAGAUCCUACAGUUGAGGGAAUCCUAGUUUUAAAGAAUUAAUUACAUUAAUUUGUUGCACAUAAAAAUCACAUGACACAAAUUUAAACUCAAAUAAAAUUAUAGUUCAUGAGCAAACCUGACAUGCACCGAUAUAUUUUGUCUUUAAAUUAUUAGUCAAAUGAGUUCUCUCUUUUUUAAUUUUAAAAAAAAAAAACUAUUUCCUAUCAUUUAUACGAGGGCACUCGAUAGCAUUUUCUUUAUGAGUCUUGAUAAUAACUAAAUAUUAUUUGCCAACAAAUGUUAGUGAAAUAUUUUUUUUUCCUUCAGAAUUUUCAUUCUCGUAAUGAAUAUUGAAUGUUUUUUACGAUAAAAUAUAAAAAUUAUUAUAAAGCUUAUAAAAUACAAAAGUUGAUGAAUAGAUUUUUGAUUUAUAAAAAUGAUUGUUAAUUCAUUUUUUAAGAGAGUAAAUGUACCAAAAUUCUUUAAUUUCUAAAUGCACCGUAGAAUAGCUUAUCUGUGUUAAUUCAUGAUCGUGUAGAAUUCAUUUAAUUGUUUAGAACAUCAAUAUGCAACAACAACAGGAUUCAAUCGUGUACGAAAGCCUUCUCAUUCUCAAUCUUUCUGCAUAAGGAUUCAAAUAUUAAAGCACUUGAUAAUAAGAAUCUUCAACAUUAUAUUCUCACAUAAAUUGACCUUCGUCCUAAAAUUUACACUCAUGUUACCUUUGAUUUUUUCUUUUUGCAUGAUAAAGUGUUUACAUCAUUUUAGCUAAUGGUCAGUCGUGAUACACGUCUGCUGGCACAUAAAUUAAUAGCAUGAAAAGAAUCUACAACACAGUUUCCUUCUAUUUAUUUAGGUUGGGGUUCUUGUGUAUACACGAGUGAUUGUAAAAUUUUAAUGAUAACACUUGUUAAGUUCUCAAUUCAUUCAGUCCAACGUUUUAAAAAAUUUAUUAAAUAGACGUCAACAAUAAUUUUAUAUCCUUACAUUUGAACAAUAUAUAUUCAUUUAUAAUAUUUUUUUUUUUGUUGGUAAAAUAACCUCUGAAAUCCUUGAAAUUUCAUUUUUUUUUAUGAUACUGGUUCUUUAAGUUUUUUCUUCUUUUCAAAUUAGUUAUUUGUGUUGCAUUAUACUUUAUUUGUCUCAUAAUUAUUGUCUCUUUAGCAUUUUUUCAUUUCCUCAAAAUAAUUGUCACUUUACAAUAUCAAUGCAACAUUUAUUAUUUUUUUCCACUAUUAUACCCUUAUUUAUUGAAUUUCAUCCAACUUAACUACUCCACUAACUACAAUUAAUAAGAGUAUUUUAGUAAAUGCUACUAAUUUUACCAUUGAAAUCAACACAAUUAAUCAUUUCCUUAAUAAUCGUGCACAAACUUUAAACGACUAUAAUUUAGAGACGGAGGGAGUACUUGUAAACAUGUACUUAAAUCUGAACCCCAUUUUUAGGUACUUAAAAUGAGUCUCACAUAUACAUAUCAUUCAUUUAUAAUUUUUUUAAUAGAAGUACCUAAUAAACACUUAAUCCCUCCAACCGAACACUUUAUACAUUUUCUUUAAUCAAGACCCACUAAUCAGGCACCCCAAGUGCCACUGCACCCCUCAACCUUUAUAUAAAUAUCAUAUUAGGCAUGUCAUAACAAUUUUUAUGCUGGUGUUGCAACGGUUAUGAAGUCUUUUUUACCAGUAAAAGGUCGCGUGUUUGAACCCCAUGGCACCCUCUUUUUAUAUUUUUUGACGAAUUCUUCAUAUAUAUGGAAAAAAGGUCCUAGUGGGAUUUGAACCGGCAUCCCUCAUGUCACAUUCAUACAAUUGUACACCAUCACAGCAGUUCACAAUAUUGUAUAUAAUUUUGAAACUUUUUAGUAUAUAUUCUACAAAUAUUUGGCACCCCCGAGAAAUAAACUCAAGAUCCGCCACUGCCACUAAUCAUCUAUCGAUAACUCUAUAUCAUUACAUUUCAAUAUUUUAAUCUUUAAAAUGAGUGGGACAUUCGGAGAGAGAGGAUACUUAUUUGAGACCUUGUGCUCAUCAAGUACGCAAAAUUAUUUUUCUUUAAUGGAGGUAUUUAAUAAAUACCAAGUCUUAAAUAUGAGAGACCCUCUCAUUGAAGAUGGUCUUCGGCGAAAAUAUGACCCUUAAUAAUUUUUUCAUAAAGCAUCAAUCAAGCUCUUUAAACGUCUACAGAUUUUGGAGUUCUCUAAAACAAUUUAAGACAUGUUUCAACCUAUAAAAACUUGGAAAGAAAACCAUAUUCACAUGACCAAUGUCAUUAACCUCAUUUGCAAAGUGGUUUGGACAAUCAACUUGAUCAUGUUAUUCAGAUUAAAUCUUAACACUUCAUGGCAUAGUAAUUCAUGAAAUUAAAAUGGUCAAACUUAAAGAACUACAAAUACAAUUUAGUAUAAUUUAGUGGCUAACAAUGCAAAGAUAAUGUAAUGUAAAAGACAAUUUCGACGAAAAAAUUCAGAACCAAAAUUCAGGAAAAAUGUUAAACUACGAACAUAGUUUUGCGAAAAUUUACUUGAGUAGAACCCAUAAAAAAUGGAGAGAAAUUAUAAUGGAGAUGUAUGUUUAUUUAACUUGAUGCUACAAAGGAGAGGACCCCAUUGUGAUGCUCUAAAUAGAUCUUUGGAAGAUUUUUUUUGACCUGUUACUAUUGAGAAAGUCAUAACAUACAACAUAUGGCUAUGAUCUCAUAACCUGUCUACUGAUUGAAGCAUUUGCAUAUGUAAAUAAUGUCUUUCAAUAUAUUCAGUCUAAAAGUGGUAUAGAAGGUCUUUAUAUCUCCAAAGUAGUUGGGCAUCUAAAAAGCAUAGCCUCUUUAGAAUGUGCUUUAAUUUGUUCAAAGAAACAAGUCCUAAACCUAGCUUAAGUUUUUACGUCCUAUAAAUAGCUUACCAUACUUGCGCAUUUUAAGUAACCUUAAGCCUCAAAUAUAUAUAGUUUUCUAUAUAUUUCCAAUUAUCCUUUAGCCUCUACAUUUGCUUGUAACUUUUGUCUCUAGAAAAUAAUUAUUUUUUCAUCUACAUUUUAUUUGAAAUUACCUAUUUGAUCAGUUUUUAUAUUAACAUGGAGAAGGUGAUGAGGUUGGCUACAGAAAAGGGUGUGGUGGUAUUCACCAAGAGCUCUUGUUGUCUAUGCUAUGCAGUGAACAUUUUGUUUCAAGAAAUUGGAGUGUACCCUGUGAUUCAUGAAAUUGACAAAGAUCCUGAAGGGAAAGAAAUGGAGAAAGCUAUAACAAAGUUGGGUUGUAAUGCACCUGUCCCUGCAGUAUUCAUUGGAGGAAGGCUUGUGGGGUCCACCAAUGAAGUAAUGUCCCUACACCUAAGUGGUUCACUCGUUCCACUACUUAGGCCAUACCGAAUUUAGCUUAAUUUGAUCUUAGGAACACAUGCAAAAUACACGUCCCAGCAGCAGCUACCUU